GUAGGGACACUGCUAACUUCUGAAGGCUUUCCUCAGUGACCUGAGCUCGGAGACAAACUCGGGCUGGCCCGCUUUCGUGGCCGAGUGAAAAUCUUCCAGUGGUCGCAGGCAAGCUGAAAGGCCCUGGCUCUUGUGGUUAUUUUUGGUCCCUUACCGGAGGAUUCAACGUGACCCGCCAUCCGAGGGACCACAAGGGACAGCGGGAGAGGAGGAGACUGAGGCUCAGAGAGAGCUACCUGGGGAGUAAGUGGCAGAACGUUCGGAGUUUACCCCAAAGUGCUUUUUAUCUGGAGGGUCUCCACUUGUGAUUUCACAGGGCUGGGGCAGUCCCGCUGUGGAAACUACCUCCCUCAAUCAAGAGGGACAGUUUUUCUGCGCCUUUUGAUCUCAGGUGCGUGGGGCCAUGCUAGGUUCUUGACAGAGGGACAGCUAACACCUUGAGUAACAUGGUCAGGUUGGACCCAAAAGAUCACGACGUGGCAUGGGACAAAAUCUGGGGAGGUGACCUAGAUGAGAAGUUAAAAUCUCCCUCUUGAGUUGGAGAAGUUGCUUUCACAAGAAUAAGAUGUUGCAAGCAUGGUUAGGCAAGUUUGUCUGGGAAAAGGACUAAGGGUUUUAGUAGGCUGCAGUCUCGUAUGUCCGAACAACCGGGAAAAGCUGAUUUGCUCGUGGUUUGCCUUUAGAAAGGCCAAGGCGCCCGAGGAGGUGGCUCCUGCUGCGCUCCCGCUGGUUGCGUCCAGUCCGCAAUACUCGGGCCGCUUGCGGCCUUGGCAUGUUAGGGAUAAAGUGUGUCAAGAGGAACAGAAACAGAACGGCGAGCGCCGUAUGCGGGCCUGUUUAGCCUGGUGAAGAGAAGACAGGGGCAAACCAUAACAGUCUUCACGUGGUUGCCUGGCUGUCACGUGGCAGUGGGAUUAGACUCUCCAUUUGGCCCUAAAAGGCAGAAGGGAGAGCUAAGGGUCUACAUUGAGCCUGGAAGUCCAGGGAAACCUUGGGAACAAUAGAGCCAUCCUGUGGGAGAAUGGAUUGCCCCAGGACGGGUGGGUUCCCUCUCCCUGGAGGUCUUGAAGCAGAGCCUGCAUUGCUGGGAGCCCCGGACACCUCUUUGACUUCUUUUCUUCUGGCAAAGUUUACAUUUAGGUAGCUGUCGACUUCUCUUCCGACUUUGAAAUUGAAUGGCUUGUCCUACAGCCUGAUCCUGGAGCCAGCCCUUGGCCCUACCCUCGGGCUCACUCAACUUCUGCUGGCCGUAACUGAAUACAAGCUGACGGGUGCUCGGUCUACUUUGGCUUGAAGUCGUCUAUUCCCAGGGGAACCCACUGCUUCUCAAGAUAACCGGGACACCUUCCGAGAGUUGCGAUUGCUCAGAAGUGUACCCUUGUUACUGCACUUUAGAGCCAAACAGAACAAGUUGAAACCCACAUUCACAUAAAAAACUCCUCAAAUACUUGAAUGUAUUUGAAAACUGCUUAAUGAAUUUGACUCUCCUGCAGCAUUCACCAAUUCACCAUUCCCCCCUUCUUGGAUCUUUUGGAUUCUUCUAUCUCGCUCAUUAGCAAUCCUUCCUAAGUUUGUAUCAUUGGCACAUUUGACUAAAAAAAACCCCAUCUAUGCCUUUAUCUGAGUCAAUGGACAAAUAUAACUCAUGGCAUAACACAUGGCUCAUAGCCAAACAUAGAUCCCUCGGUCACUUCACUAGAAAUGUCUUUUGAAGUCAACAUCUAACCAGUAAUGACUCCAUGUUGGACAUGAUCCAAGCAGGACCCUGAUCCAUCUACCUGUACUAUUAUGUAUCACACACUUCUCCAACUUGUCCGUAAGAGCAGCAAUCCGUAGAUCAACAAGCAUUUAUGAAGUGCUUUUCAUGUGCCUGAUCACUGAGUUGAGAGCUAGAAGCUUAGCAUGAAGGACUGCGUGGUAUACUUUGACUUCAGUUCCUAGCAAAAUCUAGAAUGUGUUAUUAAAUCGCUGGCAAGUGACCAUCUAGAAAAGGAAGCAGUAACCAAAACAGCUAGGGUGGCUAUGUCAGAAAUGGCUUGUGCCAAAGAACUAGAAGCUGAGGGAAUGUUCAUUAAUUGAGGAAUGAGAAUAGAAGUAUAUGACUUUUUCCUGUACUAUUCUGCUAGAAAAAAAAUGAGAUUAGUCUGGCAUGACCUAUUAUUAUUUCAAGGAAAACAAUAUCCAUAUCUUUUGUUUCGACUUCAUCAUCAUUUCCCAAGAUGUCCUUUCCCAUUCCCUCGCUCAGAGGACCACACUAUAUCACAAAGAAUUAAAAAAAGAAAGUGACUCAGCAUAACUAACCAAUACAUCAACUUCGGUCCAACCUUAUUUUCAAUGUUCCACAGUCAUAAUUCCCUUCAUUGGAAAAAAAGGUCAUUGUAUUCUCAUCGUUCAUGUUUUUUUCUUCAGGGACAAACAUGGUUAUUAGAAUUCCAUACCAAUCAAUUGAGUUUCUUUUUGCUAUUUACAUUUACAUUAUUGUCAUUGUGUAGAAUUGUCUAGUUCUGCUUAAUUCACUUUGCAUCAGUUCAUCUAAGUCUUUCUAUGCUUCUUGGCCUUCUUCAUAGUCAUCAUUCCUUUCAAAACAGCAAAAUUCCCUUACAUUCAUAUACUGCUAUUCCUUUUCCUCAAUUACUGGGCAUCCCUCUUGCUUCUAGUACUUUGGCAUGAGCUAUUCUCGUUAAAGCCAUGCUUCCUUUUCUAGAUGGUUGCUUACCAGCCAUUUAAGAACAUGUUCUGGAUAUUGCCAGGGACCGAAGUCCAGUUCAUUAGCCAAUAAUUUGCCACUUUUGUGCGCUUCUCUUUUUUGAAAGUUGACAUAUUUACCUUUUUUUAGUUCCAGAAAUUCUUUUCCCAUGGUCUUUUAAAGAUCACUAGUGGGGAACUGAGUGUGGACCACAACAUAGCAUUUUCACUCUUUCUGUUGCUGUUUGCUUGCAUUUUUUUCUUUUUCUCUUGAUCUGAUUUUUCCUGUGCAGCCAGAUUAAGAAUUUCUAGAUAUCUCCCAACGUCUACUUUUUUUAUGACUUCCUAUUGCUUCUCGAAUAUGUAUAUACUGUAUAAAUAUGUAUACAUAUGUUGGAUUUAACAUAUUUUUGACAUAUUUAACAUGUAUUGGAUUACCUGUCGUCUAAGGGAGGAGGUGGGGGGGGAGGGGAAGAUUUGGAACAGAAGGUUUUGCAAGGGUCAAUGUUGAAAAAUUACCCAUGCAAAUGUUUUGUAAAUAAAAAGCUUUAAUAAAAAAAAAGAUCACUAGUGUUGCCUAAGCAAACACAGCUGCUAGUUAUUUCAGUACCUUAGGCUGACUAGUGCAUCUGGACCUGGUAGCUUGAAUUGA